GCCUAUAGCCAUAGCACCCUGAACAUGCCUGAUCUACUCUGAUCAUAGAAGCUAAGCGGGAUGGGGCCUGGUUAUAGUACCUGGAUGGGAAACCACCAGGCAACACUAGGGACCUCUGAGUA
rnacentral:rRNA from 1 species